rnacentral:lncRNA from 1 species
CCGGAUCCGACAUGCCACAUCGAAGCGUUCAAAAUAUUUUAUAUUGUUGAUCCAGAAAAACCUACUUAGUGUUUUAAAAGAUAAUUUCAUUAUAGGUUAAAGUGAAUGGAAGCUGUGCACCAGGUAGGAAACCGGAAAAGAGGAGGUGAGUCUAUCGGACUACUUAAGUCCCAAGCUCCCUUCGGAUCUAAUCCUAGACAUGCACACCGCCAUUGCCACACCUUAACGUCAUGUAUAUUUCUAGGAAACCGAUUUGAUUAAGUCAUUUUUAGGAAAAGUGAUUAAUUUUGGAAAAUACUUUCAUUGCGGAAGCUUUGCUUGUUGUCGUGUUAUUUUGAAAUCAAUUGUUGUUUUUUUUUUUGAAAACGCGCCCUAAAGCUAUCCAAUUUCAACAGUUAAAAUAAGUAAUACCUAUCUUAGUAAUACAUAUUAAAACCAUCAAAAAUAAUUAAGCGGCCUUAUUACAUUUAAAAACCCAAACCUCAACGUAAAUAAUAGGAUGUCCAGUUCACCAGAAGAAAAUCAAACUUUCAGAACGGGUGGCCACUCUGAAUUCCCUCACAGCUCCAAGCCCACUAUGGUUGGGGAUUUCCUGCGUGGAUGAAAAUAAAAUGGGUGAGUUUGGGGAAACUCAGUGUGUAAAGAAAACCCAUUCAAAGCCCAAGUCAGCUCAAGCCUAUUGGGCCUAAGCCCAUUCAGGUAACAGUGGUACUAGACCAGAGCCCUUUUCAGAUUACAAUAAACUGGGCCUUAGCCCCUUAUUCAGAUAACAGUAUGGCCCAUAGGCCCAUUUCAAAAUACAUGCAACAUCAAUAACAUAUGCAAGCCCAUUUGGGGAGACUACUCAACCCACCAACCACUACACUUUACCCGUACCAGCCCUACAUUCCAUGUGGGGAAUAGCUCAAUCCACCCAGCCCAACACUCCACAGUUGCAGCCUUGCUGCUCAGUUAACAGUAAAUUGAGGCAAAGCCUCCAGUACGUGGAUAAGCCACUUUCAGUACUUCCUCCGUCAAUAUCCCAAUCCCAUGCAUCAGAUAAUAACAACAUGGCAUGCAGUAAAUAACAACAGUCAAACAUGCAUUUAGGUUAAUUUAACCCUAGGGCUAUUUCGGUAAUUUAUCUACUAGGGUAAAACUGUAAAUUUUCCACUUUUAAAGGUAUUUCAGUAAUUUAUCUAUUUUAGGGUUUUUCAUGCAUAUUCCUACUUUUCACGUACUAACAGAAUCACGUACUGAGGGUUCUUACCGAAUUGGGCCCGUUGACCCAUCAUUCCAAUUUUGGCCCAUUAAGCCCAAAAAUAUCGAGGGCACAGAAAUCAUGCACUUUGCAGUCCAAAUUUUGCAGCUUACCAAAAACAUUAAUCGAUUUACCUCACGAGCAUUUGCACACUCGCAAAUCUACAAAAUACCGAUUUUCGGCAUUUCGGCUUUUCGACUUUUGUCGAUCUAGACUAAGAAAGAGGGUGUUAGUUACAUACCUGUUUGCGACGAUAUGCUGACAAGAUCCACACACGAACUGCCUACAAUUGGAUUACUAACACAUUAAUCUAACUAUUCAAAUACGAACUACGUAUUAACCCCUUACAAUAUUCGGCCAACCACACCUACAGAUCAUAGUAAGCUUAUAAGAAAUCAAUAAGCAACUUAUUAACAAAUUUUUGUCAAUGUUUACCACAUAAUCAUAAUCUCACUGCAAGCUGUCUUCUUGAACAACAGUCACUAAAUCAUUUAUAACUGGAGCUACAAAACUCCAAAUCAAGUGCCGUUAAUUUUACCUGAAAAUAGACUCAUAUAUCUUCUAUCUAUAAAAUUUUCAGAAUUUUUGGUUUAGCCAAUCAAUACCAGAUUUUUCUUAAAGUUUCCCAUGUUUCACUAUUUGACUAAUCUGACCACUCUUCAUUACGAAUCAAAUUUCUCAUUGUACAGAAUUCAAAAUAUGUUCUUGUUUAUUUCAUUUGAAAAUAGACUCAUUAAGAUUUAAUUACAUAAUUUAUAUAGCUUCUAACUCAUCUUCCACAAUUUAUGGUGAUUUUCCAAAGUCACAUUACUGCUGCUGUCCCAAGCAGAUUUAUUACCAAAUCACUCUUUCACACCCAACUUGCAUGCUUGUUAUUUAAACAUGUAUAUCACCAAUCAAUCAUCACAUAUCUAUGAUUUUACUUAAGUAUAAUCUCCAUUUCAUCAUUUUAAAGCACAGCAUGUUAGCCGAUUUUUCCCCUUAACAUCUAAGGCACAUGCAUGCUCAUUUGUUUGGCUCAACUUCACCUAUCUUCCAUUUUUCAUCAAAAGAACAUGAAACAACAACCAUUUCCUUCAUUUUAAUUCAUGACUAAAUGCUCACAACAUAACUAAAAACAAAAAUAUGCUUCAAAAGUUAAGGUAGAAUCAAGAAUAACUCAUGAACAUCAAGAUAGAAGCAAACUACCAUGAACUUACCUUCAAUUUUCUUCCCCAAGUGACCGAACAUUCAAGAGCUUUCUCCUCUCCUUUCUCUUCUCUAACUUUCGGCUAUGAUGAACAAAGAUGGACAAAACUUUGUUCUUUUCACCCCUUUUUCUUUUAAUAAAAUUUCAUAUUUCACCCAUUUAAUUCUUUAAUACAAAAGACAUGAAAUGCCCAUCAUGGAACAUUUACCUAAACCAUUAUCAUAGAACAUUUACCUAACUCAUUAUCAUGGAAUAUUUACCUAAUCCAUUAUCAUAGAACAUUUACCUAACCCAUUAUCAAUUUGUACCAUGAAUUAUGGAUAUCAAGUGCUCAUAUUGUCUAUAACAACAUGAUGGCUGGCCACUUCAUGUAAAAUGGGGGGUUUGUCAUGCAAAUCCUCCUAUUUUUCACUCCUAUUUAUUUGACCACUUCAAUUUAGCCUAUAGCGUUUUCAAAUAUUUUCACAUAGGUCCUAUUUCAUAAUUUCACCCCUUUUUUCUUAUGGAACAAAAAUUAAUUAAAAUUACCGGGUUCUAUCUUAAGCUUGGGCCUUCUAGAGGCCCACUAACAUAAUUAAACCUAUGCCAACAUUCACAGAGUUCCCGAAAAUUGAGGCGUUACAACUCUACCCCCUUAAAGAAAUUUCAGCCUCGAAAUUUACCUGAUCCAAAUAGUUGAGGGUAUUGUUGACGCAUAGUCUCUUCUGAUUCCCAAGUAGCUUCUUCCCUUCCAUGAUUACGCCACAGUACUUUUACCAACGAAACAAACUUCCUUCUUAAAACUUUAACCUCUCGAUCUAAAAUUUGUAUGGGUUCUUCCUCAAAGGUCAAAUCAGUCCUUACUUCAAUCUCCUCCACUGGCACAACAUGUGAGGGAUCCGAUCGAUAUCGUCUUAACAUAGACACAUGAAAGACGUCAUGGAUUCUGUCUAACUUUGGUGGUAACUCUAACUGAUACGCUACUGGCCCUACCCGCUGAAGAACCUGAUAAGGCCCUAUAAACCGCGGACUCAAUUUGCCUUUCUUGCCGAAUCUCAAGAUCUUCUUCCAAGGUGAAACCUUUAAGAAAACCAUAUCCCUAACUGCGAACUCUAUCUCUUUGCGCUUUAGAUCCGCAUACGACUUUUGUCUAUCAGAUGCCUCCUUUAAUCGAUCUCUUAUCAACUUAACCUUACUUUCAGUAUCUGCCACCAACUCUGGUCCAAGCACUUGUCGUUCACCCAACUCUGUCCAACACAUAGGCGUACGGCAUCUCCGCCCAUAAAGUGCCUCAUAUGGAGCCAUCUGAAUACUUGCUUGGUAGCUGUUAUUGUAUGCAAACUCUGCCAAUGGCAAUUAAUCCUCCAAACUCCCACUAAAAUCCAUGAUACAACCUCUUAACAUAUCCUCCAAAAUCUGAAUAACCCUCUCCGACUGUCCAUUUGUCUGUGGGUGAAAGGCAGUACUGAAAUCCAAACGUGUACCCAAUGCCUCCUGCAACGUCUUCUAGAACCGAGAUGUAAACCUAGGGUCUCGGUCGGAAAUAAUCGACACUAGCACUCCAUGUAGUCGCACUAUCUCUGCCACAUACAACCUAGCCAACUUUUACAGGGAGUAAUCAGUACGAACUGGUAUGAAAUGGGUAGAUUUUGUUAACCUAUCUACCACUACCCUCACAGAAUCUUUCUUGGUUGGUGUCAAAGGUAGCCCACUCACAAAGUCCAUAGUGACUCUCUUCUACUUCAACAAUGGAAUUUUCACCGGUUGCAGUAAUCCAGAAGGAAAUUGAUGUUCAGCUUUCACUUGCUGGCAUGUCAGACAUUUCCCCACGAACUCCAUUACUUCUCGUUUAAGCCCAGGCCACCAGUACAGUUCUCGCAAGUCGUGAUACAACUUAUUCCCUCCAAGAUGCAUGGCACAAAAUCCCCCAUGAGCUUUCUUCAAUAUUGACUGUUUCAAGUCAGAGUCCUUCGGAACACAAAUUCUUCCUCGGAAGCAUAAAACUCUUUCAGUAUUCAGUCCAAAAUCCUCAUUCUCACCCUUCUCAACUUGCUGAAACCGAAGAACCAACGAGUUAUCCUUCAACUAUUUUUCUUUAAUCUGCUCAGUCCAAAUAGGUCUCACUUGCAAUUCUGCUAACAGACUUCCAUAAUCAAAUAGACUCAAACGUGCAAACAAUGCUCUCAACUCAGAAACAACCCUUCGACUCAACGCAUCAGCCACCACGUUAGCCUUACCUGGGUGGUACUCAAUCGAACAGUCGUAAUCCUUAAGCAAUUCUACCCAUCUUCGUUGCCUAAGGUUUAACUCCUUCUGAGUUAACAGAUACUUUAGACUCUUAUGGUCCGUGUAUAUGAUACACUUUUCUCCAUAUAAGUAAUGUCUCCAGAUUUUCAACGCGAAGAUCACUGCUGCUAGCUCUAAGUCGUACGUAGGGUAGUUCGCUUCAUGAGGCUUAAGCUGCCACGAAGGAUAAGCGACCACCUUACCCUCUUGCAUCAGUACACAUCCUAACCCCACAUGCGACGCAUCGCUGUACACAGUGAAGUCCUUCCCAGACUCCGGUUGAAUCAACACAGGUGCUUCAGUUAGAACUUUCUUCAACUUCUCAAAAGCUUCCUGCUACUUCUUAGUCCAUACAAACGGUACUCCUUUCCUUAUGAGUUUUGUCAGAGGUGUUGCCAUCACAGAAAAACCUUCCACAAACCUUCUGUAGUAUCCUGCCAGUCCUAGGAAACUCCGUAUUUUCGACAUUGACCUAGGCGACUUCCACUCCAAAAUCGCUUCAAUUUUCCGAGGGUCCACCUUAAUCCCCUCAGCAGAGACCGCAUGUCCUAAGAAGGUUACCUUCCUCAACCAAAGUUCAGACUUGCUGAACUUCACAAAGAGUUCCUUCUUCCUUAACACUUGCAGCACUAUACGGAGAUGUUCAUCAUGUUUUGCUUCAGCUUCAAAUAUACCAGGAUAUCAUUAAUAAAGACGAAUACGAACUGAUCAAAAAAUGGUUGGAACACACGAUUCAUCAGAUCCAUAAAUACUGCAGGAGCGUUCGUCAGUCCAAAUGGCAUAACCAAAAACUCGUAAUGACCAUACCGAGUCCUGAAUGCCGUCUUAUAGAUAUCUGCCUCCUUGACUCUUAACUGAUGAUAUCUAGAUAGAAGGUCGAUCUUGGAAAAUAUAGAAGCUUCUCUAAGCUGGUCGAACAGAUCAUCAAUCCUUGGCAGUGGAUACUUAUUCUUAAUUGUCGGUUUGUUCAAUUGGCGAUAAUCAAUGCACAUCCGCAUUGUGCCAUCCUUCUUCUUCACGAAUAGCACUGGUACUCCUCAUGGAGACACGCUUGGCCUAAUGAAGCCCCUAUCCAACAACUAUUGAAUUUGAGCCUUUAAUUCCACAAACUCCUUCGGUGCCAUCCUAUAUGGUGCGAUGGACAUGAACGCCAUUCCAGGCAACAAAUCUAUUCCAAACUCAACUUCUCGGUUCGGAGGCAAUCCUGGAAGCUCCUCCGGAAAAACAUCUUGGAACUCCUUUACGGUCCUAACCUUAUCCACUGUCAGUCCCUCCUCUUCUGACUGACUUACAAAUGCCAAAUAGGCUUCACAACCUUUCUGAAUCCACUUUUCGGAUCUUAAAGCCGACACCACAUUGGACAAAUAAUCCCUUCGUUCACCUAUCACUAUAACCUCCUCAUCCUUUGUGGUCCUUAACACUAUUCGUUUAGCAGCACAAUCCAGGGUCACUUUAUGCUUAACAAGCCAGUCCAUUCCCAAAAUAAGACCAAACUCUUCGAACGGUAACUCCAUCAGAUCUCCAGGGAAAAUCUUACCUUGAGUUUCUAAGGGUACAUCCCUAUACAGUUUGUCUACCCUAACCGAGUGACCCAAAGGACUUAGUAUAGAUACCCCACUCACAAUCUCCUCAGAGCAGUCCAAGUUGUCCAUAAUCCGUUCUAUGGCCUCCAACCAAUAUUCUGCCACAUUCGGGGCUAUACUAGACACGCCUCUAAAGAUCUCCGCUCCGUUAGCCCGAAGUCAUUCAGAAAUAGAUCCCUGAACUCCAUUACCCGUACUUGCCCCGGUAACCCUUUUCAGAACACGAAGCAUUGCCUGUGACAAGGCAUCAUCCUCGGCACCGCGGUCAUGAGACUUUACUUCUGUUGCUGGUGGUACCGGUGCAUCCACCGCCGGCAUAUGUCUCGAAGACGAAGAUCUCGCUCGAGCACUUCCUCGGCUCCGUCCACGGCCUCUUGUACUCAUAUCGUAUUAUCUUGAUUACGAAUUUUUAUGCAUCAAUUAAUAUUCUAGUGUUUAUUACAGAUGUUUUAUGAAUCAGACAGUAGUUCAGAGUUUGUUUUCGCAGAAUCGAAGUCUAGCUACAGUUUCAGUCUCUUAUCAGAUUUUCCUAUGGUUUCAGUAUCAUCCUAUCUAGAGUAUCCUAAUAGGGUUUCAGUAUAGACAGAUAAUUCAGGAAAAUAUUCAAAAAAUUUCAGAGUAAUACUUACAGGCUUGGGCCGGAGAUUCGGAAUGCCACCUUCUAAAGAUCUAAAUUUUGAAAUUUGAGUUUUUCGCAUUCUUUAUAAAAUUUUCGUUUUUGAAAAUCUUUAUUUUUGUAAACCCAUUCCACAGCCGAUUUGUUGCAACCUAGGCUCUGAUACCACUAAAUGUAGCACCCCAAACCCGGCCCAAAUGUUACGGUCGGAUCUGACAUGCCACAUCGAAGCGUUCAAAACAUUUUAUAUUAUUCAUCCAGAAAAACCUACUUAGUGUUUUAAAAGAUAAUUUCAUUAUAGGUUAAAGUGAAUGGAAGCUGUGCACCAGGUAGGAAACCGGAAAAAAGGAGGUGAGUCUAUCGGACUACUUAAGUACCAAGCUCCCUUCGGAUCCAAUCCUAGACAUGCACACCGCCAUUGCCACACCUUAACGUCAUGUAUAUUUCUAGGAAACCGAUUUGAUUAAGUUAUUUUUAGGAAAAGUGAUUAAUUUUG